rnacentral:lncRNA from 1 species
GCCAGCUCAAACCCUCCAAUUAAAUCACAUCAAAACACUAUUCACCCUUUGUUUAAUAUUAUUAAAUUCCCAUUUUGCCCCUAACACUUCAACAUAUCUACCGUUAUGCCAUUAACUUUUGAUUCUUUCCUAUUUUACCCCUUAUAUUAAUUGAAAAGGACUAUUCUAUCCCUUUUUAUAUAAAAAUAAUAUUUUGGGGUUAUUACAUCCUCCCCCCCUUAUAUAAAAUUCGUCCUCGAAUUUAAAAGAGUAAAUUACCUGUCAUAGCUGCAUUCGAUGUCUGUGCCUCCUGUGGAUUUACCGUGAACACCCUUCCUUGCCCUCUACCUACUGGAGCUGAUGGCUGAGAUGGUCCAACACUCUGCUGUGAUGCUGGUGUCUGACCUCUGCCUCUGUCUACAGGCCCCCUACUACUAGGCCUGUCCAUCUGCAUAGAAGGGUAGGAUGCCAAAGGCACAAACUGCUGGGUGGCACCCUGCAGGCAUUCUCUGGCAAAAUGACCCG